UCCCUGGUGGUCCAGUGGUUAGGACUUUGUCUUCCAGUGCAGAGGUUGUGGGUUCGAUUCCCGGUCAGGGAG
rnacentral:tRNA from 1 species